rnacentral:rRNA from 1 species
CCUACGGGAGGCUGCAGUGGGGAAUAUUGGACAAUGGGCGAAAGCCUGAUCCAGCCAUGCCGCGUGUGUGAAGAAGGCCUUCGGGUUGUAAAGCACUUUCAGUGGGGAAGAAAGCCUUGGGGCUAAUACCCUCGAGGAAGGACAUCACCCACAGAAGAAGCACCGGCUAACUCCGUGCCAGCAGCCGCGGUAAUACGGAGGGUGCGAGCGUUAAUCGGAAUUACUGGGCGUAAAGCGCGCGUAGGCGGUCUGAUAAGCCGGUUGUGAAAGCCCCGGGCUCAACCUGGGAACGGCAUCCGGAACUGUCAGGCUAGAGUGCAGGAGAGGAAGGUAGAAUUCCCGGUGUAGCGGUGAAAUGCGUAGAGAUCGGGAGGAAUACCAGUGGCGAAGGCGGCCUUCUGGACUGACACUGACGCUGAGGUGCGAGAGCGUGGGUAGCAAACAGGAUUAGAUACCCGAGUAGUC